GUCUGCAGCCAUACCACCCUGAACACAUUCAACCCCAUCUGAUCUCAAAAGCUAAGCAGGGUCAACCCUGAUCAGGUCUGGUUAGCUGGACCCUGCUUAGC
rnacentral:rRNA from 1 species